GGAAUGACUGCUUCUCCCUCCUAGAAAAAUGGUGGAGCUGAUAACCCGGAGCUUGCAUGGGAUGUGGAUAUCUGUUAAAGGCCUUCCUUUAAAUCAGGACCUGAUUUCAGAUCUGCCUCCUGUGGAAACAUACCAACAACAAAACUCCUGAAUAUAUUGCAGUGGGCCUCUCAGUCUCUUCUGCAACAGCCUGACACACUGCAACAGAAGCCCGUUUGAAUAGUCCCAGCCCAAAAAGGUACCCCAAUACCCUGUGAUCAGCCUGUUCAGGGGGGUGUUGUUUGAGAACUGGAGCUCCUGAAGGUGUCGAGGGCUGAUGCUGCACAAAGCUCUGCUUGGCCCAGAGCAGAUGGACUCACUGUGGAUUCAGGAGCCUGGAUUGGCACUGUCAUUGCCUGCAGCCUGUCUUACCGGCUGUGGACGUGUUGGACCCUGCUACAAGCCCCUGUGCAGGACAUGGGGAAAAUCUGGUUUUGUGGUCAAUUAAAAGCAUUAACUUUAUCUAGUUUCUGAGGAGAAGGCAGAAAGACGCAGCAGAAAGUAAAAAUAAACUCACAUUGACACAAGGUCUUAGCACCUGCUUUAUGUAACUGAGCUGAGGUGACACAGCUGCAGUGGCACCUGUAGUUUAUGUGACAGUUCCAUAGGCUCUAAACACAGCUGGUUAAUUUAAAACCCCUUUGCUAUCUGAACUGAUGCAUUAGAUGUGUUAUGGGGUGUACUUUACAUUCAAGGUUUGUGGAAGAUGACAGAAUGACAGUCCUAGACUGUGGAGUCUGCUAACUUAAAAAAGGUGCAGGAAGAAGCCAGCCAAGCUUCCUUUUUUAUUUUUAUUUUUUAUUUUUAUCUAUAUUUAUAUAUCUAUAUGAACUUAAGUCAGAGCUGGAACAUACAGAUCUUUGGGAAAUAUUUUGCUACUCUGGUAGCAAAAUAAUGUCCACAGGAAUGACAAUAUGCAAAAAACAUUUAAAUUAGGAGAAUAACUCAGUGCUACCUAGACAGAUUAGAGCUGGAGACAAAACACUCUAAAUGGCAUUUAAAUUGAAAAAAUGCAAAUGGGAGUGGAAGGGAGGUUGGAAAGUUCCACAUGAAACACAAAUCUUGAAAAACAUAAUGUCAAAAAAUCUCAGUGUGACAUUGGGCAGCAGUUUAACUAUGGAUGGUGAUAUUAUUAACCCUUUGUAAUCCUGUGAUAUUUGAUUAUGACAAAUCAUACAAAUGCAGAGAAAAACUAGACAGAUUUCUGCUGGUCUAAAGGAACAGUAAAACACUCUCAGGUGUUUUUUCUACUUAACAGAUCUGCAAAUGUGGUACAUUUGACAGUUUAAAAAGAAUGCUUUUAGGAAACAGGAAGGAAGAAAGGACUAACUUGCAAGUACAAACCAUCUGCAUUAUUACAUGUUCAGCUAGAUCAGAAGGUGGGCUCAAUGAUCCUGAGGGGUCCCUUCCAACUCUGCAAAUUCUAUAAUUUCAUUAUUCUAAAACUUUAUGAUAUUAGGUUUAUUUCAGUUAAAAUUGGAUUGAUUCUUCUGAAGGUAAAAAUGCAAAUGCCAUCUGUAGUUUGGCUGCUUAUGCACUGCAUUAUCUGGAACAGUGUUUGAUGAUUAUUUUAAUUCAGGCUACAGCAUGUUUUUAGCUUUACCUGAGUCUCAGAUGCUUGUAAUGGCAGCACAGAUGUACAACUGGAGAUAUGAAAUGCCUGCUUCAGAAAGAAUGUCUCCUCUCUUUACAGACAUUUUCUCCUGAGUCUUAGCAACAUGGGGUGCCUGGGCAAAGAGCAGUUAAUUGAUAUUUUGGCUCCAGGGAAGCAACAUUUCCAGUGAAUAGGAAUUAGGCCAGAGAUGCUGUGCUCAUAAAUUUGGCCCUUGGGAUGUCUCGAGUCUGUGGAAGGAAAUUUCUCUGGGCACCAAGGAAAGCCACAGACCAGCUCCAGACUCAAACCCCUUGGUUUCACUAUUAUAUGUGGGUGUAAAGAAGCGUGGUAGACUGUUUACCACUAAAAGAAAAAUAAAUAUGUUUAAUUUCAAAAGAUCUGCAUAUGGUGGAAAUUGUGUUGUUGAGGCUUCUUAAAUCAGAGCGGUGAAAUAUUAAAGAGAAUUAUCCUGCCUGAACAACUUUGUUGGGUGCAUGGAUUACUGCUUGAUCAAUUUUGCAACUAAAAGGGCAUUUGUUCAGAUUAAAUCCAAUUUCUACACCAAAAAGGAUAAAACUUGAGGGGUACUGAAAUAAACCAAAUCCAGUCCAAAUCAGGAACUGCAGAGUUUUAUUAUAAGAGAAGGUCAUUUGAGAUGUUUGUAUAUAUAAAUUACAUAGAGUUAUGCUGAGUGAGAGAUGCCACUCUCUACCAAGGAAGUCAGCAUGCUUAUGGCACCAUCAUACCAAUUUGCUCUUUCAGCUGAGAGAAGAAAAGCAACUGAGCAUUUGGAAUCAGAACUCUGCUUGACAUGAAAUUUUGACAUGUACAGCCAGAGCUACUGAUUUAUAAAGCCCUGAAUGUGGCACACAUAUUUUAAGAGGAAUCGAAGCUAUGUGUGGGCAUAGAUGUCCCUUUCUCUGCUUUAGUCCAGGAUUGAUAUUCAGGUACCAAUUUUGUCAGGUUUCUUCUCCCCAGGCUGACAGGGACCUUUAAAGGGGGUGUUGGUGCGGUGCAUUCUCUUCUGAAGCUUGGGGACUGAUAAGGUCAUGGAGCUAAAGGUUUCUUUUUUGAAGGAAAGGUCUGGACAUGAGCAGCACUAUUCUCUAGAGCUGUGCUAGGUGUGUUAGCUUGGAGGGCUGCAACACCUAAUGAUGCCUAAUCACCACUGAUACAGAGAAACAUUAGCCAAGUUAUGUUUACAAAGUUUGCACAGAUUACAGAAUAUAUAAACUACAUGUAGGCACUGUUGUGGGAGCAGGCCUAUCAUCACUGUAUAGCCCUUUCAAAACUUAUUUAAAAGCAGAAGGUAGGUACUGCUCUGCUGUGAAAUCAGGAGGUAGCCAUGUGUUUCAACAGCAAUUGACUGUCAUUGACCUCUUUAACCAGUGAUCUGAUGUUUCCUGUGAUGAAUUCUUUUUGGCCAAACAUUUCUGAUACUCUUGUAGUGCUGUUGUUUAUUCUGCUGUCAUUCUUCACAGACAGCUGCAGAUGCAACCAAAACUAUUUUCUUUUUCCUUUAA